rnacentral:misc_RNA from 1 species
GCAAACUUGGUCAUUUAGAGGAAGUAAAAGUCGUAACAAGGUCUCCGUAGGUGAACCUGCGGAGGGAUCAUUACCGAGUUCGUGCCCUUCGGGGUAGACCUCCCACCCUGUGUAUCUGUACCUUUGUUGCUUUGGCAGGCCGCUGGGCUGCGGCCCGGCUCCUGGCCCCGGCUAGGGAGUGCCUGCCAGAGGACCCUCCAACCUGAAUGUUUAGUGUCGUCUGAGUCCUAUGUAAUCGUUAAAACUUUCAACAACGGAUCUCUUGGUUCUGGCAUCGAUGAAGAACGCAGC